rnacentral:tRNA from 333 species
CGCGGGGUGGAGCAGCACGGUAGCUCGUCGGGCUCAUAACCCGAAGGUCGCAGGUUCAAAUCCUGUCCCCGCAACCA